UACGAAGGGGGCUAGCGUUGUUCGGAAUCACUGGGCGUAAAGCGUAUGUAGGCGGAUUGUUAAGUCAGGGGUGAAAUCCCGAGGCUCAACCUCGGAACUGCCUUUGAUACUGACGAUCUGGAGAUCGGGAGAGGUUGGUGGAAUUCCGAGUGUAGAGGUGAAAUUCGUAGAUAUUCGGAGGAACACCAGAAGCGAAGGCGGCCAACUGGCCCGAUACUGACGCUGAGGCGCGAAAGCGUGGGGAGCAAACAGG
rnacentral:rRNA from 1 species